GAUGAACGCUGGCGGCGUGCCUAAUACAUGCAAGUCGAGCGAACAGACGAGGAGCUUGCUCCUCUGACGUUAGCGGCGGACGGGUGAGUAACACGUGGAUAACCUACCUAUAAGACUGGGAUAACUUCGGGAAACCGGAGCUAAUACCGGAUAAUAUAUUGAACCGCAUGGUUCAAUAGUGAAAGACGUUUUUUCUGUCACUUAUAGAUGUAUCCGCGCCGCAUUAGCUAGUUGUUAAGGUAACGGCUUACCAAGGCAACGAUGCGUAGCCGACCUGAGAGGGUGAUCGGCCAAACUGGAAGUGAGACACGGUACAGAAUCCUACGGGAGGAAGCAGUAGGGAAUCUUACGAAAUGGGCGAAAGAAUGACGGAGAAACGCCGCGUGAGUGAUGAAGGUAUUAGGAUCGUAAAACUCUGUUAUGAGGGAAGAAAAAAUGUGUAAGUAAAUAUGCACGUAUUGACGGUACCUAAUAAGAAAGCAACGGCUAACUACGUG
rnacentral:rRNA from 1 species